UGGGGAAUAUUGCACAAUGGGCGCAAGCCUGAUGCAGCAACGCCGCGUGAGGGAUGACGGCCUUCGGGUUGNAAACCUCUUUUAGUAGGGAAGAAGCGAAAGUGACGGUACCUGCAGAAAAAGCACCGGCUAACUACGUGCCAGCAGCCGCGGUAAUACGUAGGGUGCGAGCGUUGUCCGGAAUUAUUGGGCGUAAAGAGCUCGUAGGCGGUCUGUCGCGUCUGCUGUGAAAAUCCCCGAGGCUCAACCUCGGGCCUGCAGUGGGUACGGGCAGACUAGAUGCGGUAGGGGAGAAUGGAAUUCCUGGUGUAGCGGUGGAAUGCGCAGAUAUCAGGAGGAACACCGAUGGCGAAGGCAGUUCUCUGGGCCGUAACUGACGCUGAGGAGCGAAAGCGUGGGGAGCGAACAGGAUUAGAUACCCUGGUAGUCCACGCCGUAAACGUUGGGCGCUAGAUNUGGGGACCAUUCCACGGUUUCCGUGUCGCAGCUAACGCAUUAAGCGCCCCGCCUGGGGAGUACGGCCGCAAGGCUAAAA
rnacentral:rRNA from 1 species